rnacentral:rRNA from 1 species
UACGUAGGGUGCAAGCGUUGUCCGGAAUUAUUGGGCGUAAAGAGCUCGUAGGCGGUUUGUCGCGUCUGCCGUGAAAGUCCGGGGCUCAACUCCGGAUCUGCGGUGGGUACGGGCAGACUAGAGUGAUGUAGGGGGAGACUGGAAUUCCUGGUGUAGCGGUGAAAUGCGCAGAUAUCAGGAGGAACACCGAUGGCGAAGGCAGGUCUCUGGGCCACUACUGACGCUGAGAAGCGAAAGCAUGGGGAGCGAACAGG